GAGAAGAGGAGUUAAAAACAACUCAUGACUGGAAAAUUCUACUCAGAGAUUUCACGUGAUGUCAUAAAUCAUAGCGGAGCUGCACAGCGCCAUGACGGACCUCCGUGCUGUUGUUAUAAAGCAGACAGGUAGACAGUUAAGGUUGACGAGCUUUGGAUAAGCUUUAGUGUUACAUUAUAAUUUUAUGUUGUCUUGAUUGCACAUUCUGCUUCCAUAAGGACCAUUGGUUACAAAUACAAAGUAUUCACUGACCAUAGCACCAUUUCCAAUUUAUGUUGCUGAGGAAAAAAAGAAAAGAAAAAGAAAAAAAGAUUUCCUGUCAUUAGGAUUGACUGAGUUUAACCUGCACUACAACUUUUUUAUUCUAUUUUUAUGUUAUAUUGCACUGUUUUGGAUUGUUUGAACAUAGCACUUUUUAUUAUUAUUCAUAAUAGGGGAGCUGUCAGGACUUUAGAAAUACUAUUUGCACAAAAUCUGACAAGGUAUUCUGGUUUUUAUCAUUUUUAUUUAUGUUAAUGUGUUUGUUUGCGUACAAGUGUGUUCGAUCACAAUUAAACUAAGUUCUGUCAUACGGCUGUUGUCAAUCUAUAAUCUAAAACAUAAUCUCGCCUAAAAAAGUCCCUUCGGCUGUUUGCCACAGCAAAUCUGAGCCCUAGGGCACCAAAAAGGCUAUAACCAUCAAUUUCUUUCAAUGACCAUGUUGUUCGUACAGUAGUGU